rnacentral:rRNA from 1 species
AUUGAACGCUGGCGGCAUGCCUUACACAUGCAAGUCGAACGGCAGCACGGGGGCAACCCUGGUGGCGAGUGGCGAACGGGUGAGUAAUAUAUCGGAACGUGCCCUAGAGUGGGGGAGUAACGUAGCGAAAGUUACGCUAAUACCGCAUACGAUCUAUGGAUGAAAGUGGGGGAUCGCAAGACCUCAUGCUCGUGGAGCGGCCGAUAUCUGAUUAGCUAGNGGGUUAGGUAAAGACCUACCAAGCAUCGAUCAGUAGCUGGUUUGAGAGAACGACCAGCCACACUGGGACUGAGACACGGCCCACGACUCCUACGGGAGGCAGCA